CACCUGAUGUUUUCGACAACAAAUACUUCUCCAAUCUUAGACUCCGCAAAGGCCUUCUGCAGAGUGAUCAAGAGUUGUUUUCGACUCCUGGUGCCGAUACCGCUGCCAUUGUCGAGGACUUUGGGAGGAACCAGAAUGCUUUCUUUAAAAACUUUGUGACCUCAAUGAUAAGAAUGGGCAAUUUGAAACCACUGCAGGAAAUCAAGGGGAGAUUAGAUUGAACUGCAGGAGGGUCAAUGGAAACAGUAAUAUUGCAACAAGAUAAUCAUCAUCGGAGGGUGAUUUGGUCAGCUCUUUCUAAUAAGCUAGCUUGCGGCAUAUGCGAGAGAGUUUUUGUGCUUAACAAACUCGAAUUUAAUCUUCGCUUUGUUUGAAACAUGUUAUGUAUUUUCAAAUAAAUUAACUACCAAACUUGAGUUUAAUCUAAUUUUCUUGUCUGAAACAUGUUAUGUAUUUUCAAAUAAAUUAAUUAAACUUGUGUUUUUGUGUUCACGUCCUGCUUCUAUACGCAUAAAAAAGCCUGGUACAGUAAAUUCUCUAUAUAGUCAUAUUGUUGAGACCGGAUAAAUUUAUUCUUAUAAAGAGGUUAUAACUCAAUAAAAGUAUAGUACAAAAAUUAUUGUCUUUACUUAAUUAUCACUAAUGCAAGUGAUAUAGGGGUAAAUUAUGUCAUGUAUUAAUAAAUUAAUAAUUAUUUAAUGUAACAUGACAUAUAUUUUUGAAAUAUUAUUAUUAUGUGAAAGUAAGUUUAUUAAGUUGGGACCUAUAAAAAAAUAUAACUUAUUACAAUGUGAAAUUUAUUUUUAAUUAUAACUGGUCGCAAGUUGGGGCCACGAUUUUUUAUUACUAUAAAGAAAUUAUUCAUAUACAAAGUAUUUCUAUUUGGAGGUUUUACUGUAUUAUUGUUUAUUAUUUGUUCUUUCAACAUCAUCAAUGUCACGUUUUAACCAAUAAAAAUUAUGCAUAUAUGUGGCUUGUGCCGUAGGCUUGCUGCUAAAAAUUAAUAUUAGAUCGGGCAGAAAAAUUUAUGAAUUUAAAUUUAUUUGUCGAAUGAUACUCUUGUUCUCUUAGAAAUUCUUUUAUCUCUCUUAUUAUUUUUUUUCGUUUCGUCCUUGAAAUUUAAUAAAAUCAGUUUUCUCUUGAACUUAAUUACGCUACUUUUAUCUUUUAUAAUCUAAGAGAACAUAGAUGAAUUUAUCUGUUAAGGAAUUUACCUUACAUCAGUUAAUUAAAAUAGUUACAAUUCUAAAAUUAAAUUUUUAUAUGAAUUACAAAACAAUCACUAGCUAUAGGCAUAAUAUGUAGAAGCCAUAGGGAAAAUGAUAUUUCGGUAAAUAAUAAUUAAAAUUCCGAAGGAUUUUGAUUUGUGGAAUCCACACGCUAAAAGAAUAAUAUUAAUCAGAGGCCAAGGCCCCGCUACCGCCACCAAACAAAGGCACCAUUUCAUGAAUUAUUAACUUUAAGUGGCUUAGAUUCAACCACUCGUGGGUGAGGAGAGUUUUAGUUUCAUUUCUGUAAAGACUAAAAAUAAAUAAAUAAAACGGCUGGGAGGACCGGUACGGCUUCAAAAUUUUGUGGUGAAACAUACGCUUUUACUAUAUCUUAGGGAAAACAUUAAUUAUGUAAUUAUUUCAUUAUAUCAUUUUACGUUUUCUGUUUUGCAUUUUACAUUUUCCUUUUCACCGAAAUAAAAAAUGGGUUCAUAAUUUGCAGCCACCAAAUAAGUUCACAUUUAAGACUAAACUAUUAAUUUUGAAAAAAUAGAUGUGCUUGUUUGUUUCUGGGGCGCCUAUAGAAGGCCCAAAACGUGUCUUGCUAAUUAAGUUGUGGAUCACCCCUUAUAAACCCAACAUCUCUCUUGUACUAUGCCGAUGUGAGAUUUGCUUAGGGUGUUAUAUACACCCCCUCUUGGGGACUCAGCGUCCUUACUGAGGUUUGCCCCACCAUCGCUCAAGAGGAAACAUGGAGCCGCUCUUAUACCAUAAUGUCAUAACCCAACCCAGACCUGAUAAGAUAUUAUCCGCUUUGGAUCUUAACAAGGCCCACAUGAGUUUGUUUUCUGGGGCGCCCAUACACCCCAAAAUGCGUAUUGCCAAUUAAGGUGUGGAUCACCUCUUAUAAACCCAACAUCUCUCCCGUGCUUUACCGAUGUAGGAUUUUCCUAGGGUGUUACAUACACCGCCUUGGGGACUCAGCGUCCUCGCUAAGGUUUGCCCCACCAUCGCUCAAGAGGACACGCAGAGCCGCUCUGAUACCAUAAUGUGAUGACUCAACCUAGACCUGACAAGAUAUUGUCCACUUUGGGCCUUAAUAAGGCCUGCACGAUUUUGUUUCUGGGGCACCCAUACACCCCAAAAUGCGUCUUACCAAUUAAGGUGUGGAUCACCUUUUAUAAUCCCAGUAUCUCUCCCAUGCUUUGCCGAUAUGGGAUUUGCCUAGAGUGUUACAUACACCCCCAUUGGGGACUCAGCGUCCUCACUGAGGUUUGCCCCACCAUUGCUUAAGAGGACAUGCAGAGCCGUUCUGAUACCAUAAUGUCAUGACCCAACCCAGACUUGGCAAGAUAUUGUCUGCGUUGGACCUUAACAAGCCCGCACAUGUUUGUUUCUACGGCGCCCAUACACCCCAAAACGCAUCUUGCCAAUUAACGUGUGGAUCAUCCUUUAUAAACCCAUUAUCUCUCAUGUGCUUUGCCGAUGUGGGAUUUGUCUAGGGUGUUACAGGUAAGAAGUUUGAACACAAGGUUACUUUUAGAACAUUGAAUGCAACAAUUAUUUCUGAAAGGUUUUAAAUGUUAUGGAUACAGAGGAAUUAAUUCGUAAGUGUAAAGUGAUAGCUAUCAAAGAGAAAGAAAAAAAUAGAGUAACUUUGGAAGUGAUAAUGAAAGAAAAAAGAGAGAAGCUUUUGGUUGGCUGGUUGAUGGGCAAGAUACUUCUUACGAGAGGAGUUCAUAAGGAGGGGUUGAAUAUGGCAUUACUGCAAGUUUAAAGGACAAUUAAAGAAGUUAUGAUAGAGAGCUUGGGUGCUCUUUAUGUUCAAGUUUGCAGAUGAAGCUGAUAAAAGAAGGGUGAUUGCAGGAGGCCUUUGGCACUUCGAUAGGGCCUUAAUUGUCCUUACAGAACCGAAAAGAAUUGGGGAGAUCACAAAACAGUCUUUCACUCAUGCAGAAUUCUGGGUGCAGAUUCGAAAUGUCUCGGUUGCUGUAUGGAAAGAUAUUUUCUCCAAGAAUUAGGGCGAGAAGAUUGAAAUAGUAGAGGAGGUUGAAACAGAAGAAUAUAGUGAAUAUAUUGGGGAAUUUGUAAGAAUUAUAAUUUCGAUCAAUAUGAAUAAGCCAUUAGAAAAGAUCUUACAAGAGGAUGAAGUAGAUAUUCCAAUGCAUGUAGAUUAUGAAUGAUUGCCUGACUUUUAUUUCUACUGUGGAGUUAUUGGCCAUUAAUUCAAGGAGUGUGCUAAGUAUCAGGGCCAACGAAAAGAGGAACUUCCAUAUGAGAUGUGGAUUAAGGUAGUUACAGUGGGAGGACGCUCAAGGAAGCACCAUAUCAAGGAGAAAUGGAAUAGGGAUAAUGGCAAAUCAGUGAGUAAUGCGGCAAACUCAAAACACCACGACUGCUCACAACAACCUCAGCAGAGUCAAAGUAACCCGAUUGACAAAACCAAAUCAAGACUCGAUCAGGAAGAAAUGGGUCAAAAUUAUGAAUUAGCUAUAGGUGAUGAGGUGGAACGAGUAUGUGAGAAACAUUUAAUGAAUGGUGUAUUGGAAAUAACAAUGGCACAACAAGCAGGCGGCAAAACGCAGCAUGAGAUAGAGGGAAACGCAAGAGGACCUGGAAAUAUGGGAAUUCAGGCGAGAAAUAAAAAUGUUAAAAACAAGCGAGAAAUUUUGGAGGUAACACCAAUUAAAGUUUAUAAGGAGAUACUGUGCUAAGAAGGCGCGAAUGAAGCAAAGACAGGAAAUUAGUCUCGAAGAGCUCCAAUGAGGCCCAAUAGAAGGAAAUGGAAAUUACAAGUUCGAAACACAAACUCCAAUGGUGGAAACAAAUAUGGGUUAGGGGCGUUAAAAAGGCCAAGUUGUGAGCUAACUGAGCCAAGUUCAAAACAAAAGAAGAUGAAAGUGACUAGCCUACCCAAAUUAGAAACAAAGCAAUAUCAGCUAAAUUCACCAGUGGCAAAACUCAAUUUGAGCUGGGAACUGUUGGCAAUUAAGGGAAUAGAAAUUGCAGACUCAAACAUAGAAGAGAUAUCGGUGGAGGCUGGCGAUCAAGAAUGCUAGAAGCCAUGAAAAUCCUCAGCUGGAAUGUUUAGGGUUUAGGGAAUUCCCGGAUGUUCCUAGCAAUGCAACAAAUUCUCCAAAUUCAUAGACCUCAACUUGUGUUUUUGAGUGAGACAAAGUUGCAAUCUAUGCAAAUGGAUACGAUUCGUAGUAAGCUAAAUUUUGAUAGCUGUUUUGCUGUGGAUAGUAGUGGAAGGGGAAGAGGUCUUGCAAUGCUUUGGAACUUUGAAAUUUGUGUGCAUAUUAAGUCAUUUAGCAAGCACCACAUUGAUGCUGAACAACAAAUGGGCAAUGAAAAGCAAAUGCGAUGUACAGAGGUGUAUGGACAUCCGGAGAUGCAGCAAAAAAAGCACACAUGGACAUUGUUGAGACGGCUAUUAGGUUUAUCUUCCACACCUUAGUUAUGUUUCGGUGAUUUUAAUGAAAUUUUACACCUAUAUAAGAUGAAUGGUGGCAAUGAUAGAAAUCCAAACCAAAUUAGUGACUUCAGAAAAGCCUUGAGAGAUUGGAAUCUAAAGGAUGUGGGCUACAUGAGAUAUCUAUUUACAUAGGAUAAUGUAAUAUUUGGCCCUGACUUUGUGGAAGAAAGAUUAGACAGAUUUUUAUGCAAUGAGGCUUGAAGUGAGAGAUUUAUUGAAUAUGUAGCUGCUAAUCUCGAGAGUUGGAUAUUCGAUCACAACCCAGUGUUGAUGGAUGUUCAGGAUAGAGGUAAUGACUUGAAUUAUCAAAGAAGGAGAACUUCACGAAUCCAUUAUUAAGAUAUGUGGAGUUCAUAUGACACCUGUAAAAGUAUAAUUGAAGAAGAAUGGCAUAAACAUGGAUGCUGGAACAUUGAUGAUCCCAUACAUUUAUCCCAGAAGGCGACUAAAGAUUCCAUGGCUACUUUGACUUUGUGUAGUAAGGAAGAAUUUAAAGGGAGAGAAAAUAAACUGAAGAAGUUGAAAAAACAGUUGUAGAGCUUAAAGGAAAAAAAGGUGCAGUAUGAAUUUGAGGAUGAAAUUAAAUGGGUGGAGAGACAUAUUCAUAACAUAUUGGCCGAUGAAGAGAUUUUCUGGAAACAGCAAUCGAGAGCGGAUCGGCUUAAAGAGGGGGAUAAGAACACUAAGUUUCUCCAUCAUAAAGCCUUAUCGCGGAAGAAAAAGAAUAGAAUAUGGGGAAUUGAAGAUGAAACAAGAAGAUGGAUUGAGAAUGUGGAAGAAAUGGAGUAUGAGUUUUGCACUUAUUUCACAAAUCUGUUCACCACAUCCAGACCGAGCUAGAACCAAAUAGCAGCAGCUCUUUCAAGGAUAACACUAAGGCUCUCAAAUGACAUGAACGAGAAAUUGGACAAGCCUUUCUCAACAGAGGCAGUUGUUGAAGCCUUAGCACAGAUGUGUCCAACAAAGACUCUAGGGCCUGAUGGGUUGCUAGCAGUCUUUUAUAAAAAAACAUUGGAAAACGAUUAAAUCCGGAGUUAUCACUACUUGAUGUGCCAAGCAUAUAUCUUAAGUGUUCAAAAGUUACUGUAGAUUGUUGGGCACCUGCCUUUAAGCUUUCACUAAUAUUAAGUCAAAUUGGCAGUUCAGUAUGAUCCACAGCAUAUAUAUUUGACCUAAAUGUCUCCUGCUCGAAUAUUUUCGAAUACAAAUUAAAUAUAAUUUGCACAUAAUUGUAUGAGUUGUUUGGAUUUAAUUCACGUGACAUAUCUAAAGAAGACUUGUGAAAAAGAAUGAAUGAUAUACCAAACUCAAAAAUGAUUUUUUAGUUUAAUUCAUGAGUCAAGACUAACAUAUUAUAGUUUCAUUUUUAUUCUUUUUUGGAUCAAGUACUUAUAUAUUCUCAGUUCAAGCAGCUUUAAUCUUGCAUUGCACGGCUAAAAGUAUAGUAUACUGUACACUAGUUUAUGAAUAAAUAAAAUGUAUGUAUCAUUAAUUUUACUAUCAUUUUUUCCGUAAAUUAUUCAUCAUUUGGUAAUUAUAAUUAUCAUAAACUUGAUCUCCUUCUUUGUUAUAGGGUUGUGAUGCAUCAGUGUUAUUGGAUGGAAGUGACAGUGAGAAGUUUGCCGCGCCUAACCGGAACUCAGCACGAGGAUUUGAAGUUAUUGACGCAAUAAAAACUGCCGUGGAAGGUCAAUGCAGUGGAGUUGUAUCAUGUGCUGAUAUUUUAGCCAUAGCUGCAAGAGAUUCAGUGCUCUUGGUAAGUUGGUUGAUUAAUUGUUCUUCUCAUAUAGAUUCCAUGGGACUAAAAGAAAUAGAGACGUGAGAAACUUGAGACCUUGUUUGAUAUUGGGAUUUCAUAUUUUUUAAGCCACAGCUACUAUAGAAAAAAGUAGCAACUAUAGAAUAAAGGUUGAUAAUGUAUAGUAAAUAUAGUUUUCAAUAAUAAUUUUGACAAAAACAAUAGAGAUAUUAUAAAAUUUUCAUCAUAAUAAUUUGAGACAAAAUUAUCUUAAUUUUAAAGUCACUAGAACAAUUGUUUACCAAAUACUUUAGUAUUGUGUCUUAAAAGAUAGAACUGUUGAACUAAAUUAUCAAGCAGGGACUAAGUCAUCUUAGUUCACAGGAUUCUACCAAUUAAUAGAUAAAGAUUUUUUUUUUUCAUAUUCUAAUGGUAUGAGAAAAUUAAAAUUUUCUCUUUAUAUUUGAACUUUAUGAGGUUAACUUUUACUUAUACAAAUACUAUGACAAUAUUUUGCAGAGUGGAGGACCUACAUGGAAAGUUCUGCUGGGAAGAAGAGAUGGACUGGUGGCAAACCAGACAGGUGCUAAUGCUCUUCCUUCACCGUUUGAGGGGCUAAACAUUCUCACUGCCAAGUUUGCAGCCGUGGGUCUAAAUAUUAAAGACCUAGUGUCCUUGUCAGGUAAUUUAUUUGACCUCUCUAUCACCAUAUAUUUGUAUCAACUCAUAACUAAUUAGCCUUCGUUCGGGAUCACUUUAAAUCGUAAAGUAAUGACAUUCUAUAUAAAUUUGGCUCCUCUACUAGUUUAACUUAUUUAAAAUUAUUAAAAUAAGAAAAUUAUCAUUUAUCUAUCCGAAAUUUUCUCAAUGUUUGAAAAAUAUCCCAAAAGUUUGCAUUAGGAAUCCCAGGACCCCUUUUUGAACUCCCAUAAUGUGCGAGCUUGGUAAUUUUAAUGUUUAUGUGCAGGUGCUCAUACAAUUGGAUUCGCAAAAUGUGCCUUCUUCAGCAAUAGACUAUCCAACUUCUCAGGAACAGGUGCUCCAGACGCUACAAUGGACACAAGCUUGGUGUCCGAAUUGCAGAGCCUAUGUGCGAACGGGGACGGAAACAAUACGACGCCGCUUGAUCGGAACUCGAUUGAUCUAUUUGACAACCAUUACUUCCAGAACUUGAUCAACAAUAAGGGCCUUCUUAGUUCUGAUCAAAUUCUAUACUCUAGUGAUGAGGCCAAAUCAACUACUGAGAGUCUUGUUGAAAGCUAUAGCAGCAACUCAAAUCUUUUCUUUGCUAAUUUUGUUAAUUCUAUGAUCAAAAUGGGGAAUGUAAGUCCACUCACUGGGACUAAUGGUGAGAUUAGGAAGAACUGCAGGGCAGUUAAUUCCUUAACUGAGAUAUGAUUUUAUGCAAGAAUAUACUCAACUUUGCCAUGGUGAAGUUACUGUAUAUCUAAUGUCUGUGUAUUUGUAUGUGAGUGCGUGUGUUUUCUUUCUUUUUUUUCUUUUUCUUUUUUUGGGUGUUCGUUAUGCUGGUAAUAUGUAGUCUACUAUGAAUAAGGUUGUGAUCUCAAUAACAUUUUUUGUCUUUUAAAUUUUUAAUAAAAUUAUUCUCCUACUUUUUCUGUCUAUGAUUGUUCGACACUUUUUUUUAAUUGAUUCAUCUUUAAUUAAAUUAUAAUUCCUUUAGAGUGAAACAUAUUUAACAAAUUUGAAUUCUUGUCAUAUUUACCUUUUAUCCAAUCGAAUUAUAAUGCACGUGUUGAAUGAAUUCCAAGAAAUAUACGUGUGGCAUCUCUUUCUCCUGUUUUUUUUUUUUUGGUUUUGACCACGAGGUAUCUUGGGGAGGGCCCCAACUGUGAGAGGCAUUUUUAAGCCCGUACCACAACCCAGACUAGAAGUCCCCGCUCGAAUCGAGAGGCACAGGUUCUCCCAACAAAGGUGACUUCCCUGCGACUCGAACUGGGGAGCAAACCCAGUCAAUUCUCCUGUUUUUUUUUCCCAAAGCGAAAUAACUUCUUUCAUAAGUUUUUCCUUGUUUUUCUCCUUUUCGUUUUUUUGUUUUUGUUUUUUUUGUUUUUUAACCUCUUUAGGGUACAUUGAAAGAGCAUAAAUUAUGAUUUGGGUGCAAAGAAAUUUAAUUUUCUUUGUUAAAAAAAUAAUAAUAAAAAAGUCAAAUAGCUGAUAACGUCAGAAUUCAAAGUAACACUCACGGAAACAAUCUUGCUAAAUCAAAUAUGGCAUUUUGCAUUGCUUUAGCUAAGGUCUUUCAAUCAUUCUUAAAGCAGACAAUCAAGGCAAAUCAACAGAGUCCUCAAACGGCUAGUUCAUUGAGGAAAUCAUGGAGAUAAAUUGCAAAUGAAAGAUUACCCAAUUAGUCCCUUCUUUUUUUCCAGAAUAAUUCAUGUUAUUUUAAUUUUCUUUUCAAUGAUCACUCUCUUGUAUAUAUAAAGGAAGUAUUGUAUAAAUGAUCAAACUAAGAAAUCUUCUCUUCAAACACUCACUCUUCAAAGCUUUUAUAUAAUCUUGUCACAAAUCAUGUGGAGCCUGCCAAAUCAUUUCCUCACCCUCAACUUCUCCCUCCUUUCUCAGCUUCCUCUUACGAACCGAACUUGCUUUGGCUCUCACUGUCGGAAAAGCAAAUGAUUCUUUAUUUUAUUAGAUCUUCUAAUUUGCUUUCGUUUAAGGACAAAUUUCUCUCGAUCGGUUUAGAUAUGUGGUGGUUGUUAUUAUUUUUUUCAAAGUUUUAUUUUUAUUUAAGUAUUUAGAAAUCUAUAGGCACCUGUUGAUUUUUUUUCCCCCAAGAAGCUCUAGUAUGUAUAAUAUGUAUGAUAUCAAAUGGCAAAACCUACUAUGAUGACCUAUUAUUACGAUGCAAGGCGUCUUAAAUAAGCUGAAGAAGAUCCUCUCAUAAUGAAGCAUUUGCACAUUUGAUAGAGGUGUCAUUUAAUUGAGAGAAUAUUCAAGACAGGAUAAAUCAAAAUUUUUGGGCUACUAUUAUGAUUGCUAAGCCUUGGCAAUCUUCAGUUUUAGAUUUUCUUUCAAUGAUUUACCUAACUCUUAUACGAGUGGACUCACACUAUAUUACUAGACAAUUUAGUUGUGCUAAAUUAGAUUGGAUGUGUACAAAUUGAGGACAAAAAUAUGGCAAAAGGGCUAAUAAACAAAUCAUUUACUUCAAUUAAUUUUAUUGUAUAUAUUAAUAUACAUAUGUCAUUAUUCAGAUCCCAAUUUUGUACAUUUGUCCUUUGUCAUUGCUUCUUGUCUGAUACAAGGCAUGAGGUCCACCUAAAAUUCACAGGGGCUUGCUUCCGUACUUCUCGUACUAUUGUGUCAAACGAUUUCUCUAACGGCAAGUAUAAUCAUUGUUCUCGACUUUCUUUUUCGUAAUUUUAAACGAUUUCAAUAAUAAUGCUUAAAGCACGCAUCUCAUUAAAUUGGAAUCAAUAAGCCAACACUUUUGACUUUAGUGAAAGAGAUUCCAUAAAGGACAAGAGAAGUGCUAUGUCUGAAGAAAGGAAUUGAUGUUCAAUAUGAAUUUAUUCGAAUCUCUCUCUCUCUCUCGCUCUCACUCCAUAUGUAUAUAUAUAUAUAUAUAUAAACCAAUUUAUACAGUGGACUAGAUCGAUCAUAUAUAUCAUUGUGUUUGUUCAUCCACAACUAAUACAGAGGUCACACAGAAAGCGAUGUGAGUAUUCAAUUUUUUUGUCUUAACUUUUGUGUUAAUUAUCUAAUUAAUUUAUACACACAUUACGUUGAUAUAUUUUUUGUGUUCUUGAAGGAUUACUCCUUAUCCAUUCAUUAUAAAUAUAUGUGUAUCAAUAUUAUCAAAAUUUCUUGAAACAUACACUUGGCAAGGAGCGGAUAGAAAAUGAGCUGAGCACCCAACUAAAAUUUUUCCAAGCGAGUGUUGUUUAUUUCAUUAUUCUUCUUUUAGCAACCGAUUGAAUAUAUGCGGAUGAUAGGGAGCAAGCUCAAGAGCAUGUAUCAAUUGAAGUGGAGAAAUUAGCAGAUUCUUUCAGUAGGGAACUGAAGCCAUUGCAUCCCUUAUCCGGAAAGUGUUCCAUCUACAGAGUUCCUGAGACACGCGGCGUCUACAUCCAAGUGAUUACACUAAAAAAUGAUCUCAAUUGGCCCGUUUCAUCAUGGAAAGGAACAGCUAAAAGCCAUGGAAGAGCACAAAAAAGGAUACCUAACAUACUUUCUUCAACAACUAAGGUACGCAUGGCAAGUUUCUUUGCAUUUAUUAAGGAAAGGGAAGCAAAAUUGCGCAAUUCUUAUGCAGAAACCAUUCCUCUUAAUUGCAAUGAGUUGGCAAAAAUGGUUUUAGUGGAUGCUGUCUUUCUCAUUGAGCUCUUUCUUAGAUAUUUUGAACCUUAUUUGAGAACUGACGAUGAUCGCAUAAUUGGAAAAUCGAAUUUGUACUUGGAAAUACGGCACGACUCUCUGCUGCUACAAAAUCGGCUUCCACCAUUCAUUCUCAAUGACCUCAAUGACUUGUUUAAUGUUAGCCAAAACAGCAACCAAUCAAAAUGACUUUGUUGAGAAGUGAACCACAAAUCUGGAAUUGUGGUUAAAUAUGACAUGUCAAUCUUGUGUUCCAAGAUUGGAAGAUAUGUCGGUUGAGUAGCAAAAGGGAGACUUAUGACAAGCCUGGUAGAUCAGCCAAGUGAAUAAGUUAAGCACAUGUUGAGGCACAUGACUUCACGUAUUCUAAACGGCAAAGAAAGGUUGCGUUUUGGAUGAAGCUGCAACACGUGUUUUUUAGGCUGGUUUAAACAACUGUUAGUGCCAACCAAAGUUGGUUGGUGUGAGUGGUCUGUCACUCUCACUUCUUAAGAAAGGUCAGGGGUUCAAACCCCGCUCUCGUAUGAAGUCACCAUUUUGGCUAGUAUUUUACUCCUUACAAGCUAAUCCAGUGCGAGCGGAGAUUAAUCUGGAUUGUGGUACUAGCUUAAAGAUGCCUCCUACAGUUGGGCUCACUCAAAACCACCUCGUAGUUCAGACAAAAAAGAAAAAACAACUGUUAAUGCCAUUAAUAGAAGCGGGAAAAUUCUGGGUUUGUUACUAACAAACCCAGGGAUGUAACACUGGCUUCUGGGGGUUGUUUCUAGAGCAAUCUAGGCGUGUAUAUAAGGCUUCAUGGUCUCGGUUUUGGCUAGCCUUAGUGUAUGACAGUUUCUCAGAUUGCUUGUAUCUUGAAAACACCAAAUCAGUGAAAGUUCUUUCUCUCUUUUACAGUGGAUGUAGGUCACCUGGUGGCUGAACCAUUAUAACUCUUCUGUGUUCGUGUGUGAUUGUUUUUGCUCUUCUUUAAGCUUGCUAUCUGUUGAUUCGAAUCUGUGGUUUCAUAAAGUUUUAGUAGAUCAUAGUUGGUUCUUUGAUUAAAGCUAAUUCGAGUGGAUCUUGGGGGAUCAAGAUCGGUUAUUUGCUGAUCUUGGUCCAACAGACUUGUACAGAAAAAUUCCCUUUAUUGCAAUUACCUGUUAUUGGUUCCGUGCAGAUAUGCUUCAAUUUCUUCCAAUACAGGAGAACUUGUUAGAAAUCCACUUUUUCAGAGCACAGCAUUUUGUUGACUUGCUUAUACUCUGUCUUCCGCCAUCCCAGCCGCGUGCCAUAAUUGAAUUGAAAGAUCAAAAGAUACCCAGUGUAAAGUAACUUCACCAAGCCGGAGUCAAGUUUCAAACGGAGUCAAGCAAAAAUCUACUUGACAUUAAAUUUAAUCAAGGAAUUCUGGAAAUUCUAUCUCUAACGGUAUAUUUUCAUGACACAAAGCCUUUCUACAGGAAUCUUAUAGCUUUUGAGAGGAUGCAUGGCUACCCUUUAUAUUUUAAUGACUGCAUUAUAGUGAGGUGUUACCUCGUCAGCACUCCAAACGAUACGGAAUUACUCAUUCAAAAUGAAAUUAUUAGGCUUGGGUACAGUGAACUACUUCCAACUAUUCUUAGCAGCCUUUGUAAAGGCUGUUCAGGAAGUGGUUUAUAUACAUACAUACAUGUAUGUAAUAAUAUAUGUGUGUGUGUAUAUAUGUAUGUAUGUAUGUAUGUAUAUAUGUAUGUGUGUAUGUAUGUGCGCGCGCGUGUGUAUGUAUUUGCUUAUGGACUUACACUCAUUGAAUUCAACGUAACAGGUAAUAGGGAAGUUGAGGAGAUGAAUAUCGAUGCAUUGAAUAAUCUUUGACAGUACAAUUAGUACGUACGUGGUUAGGUUCUAACUACAAAUACAAUAACCAGCCUUAACGUUUUCUUCAAAAUCCGGGAGGCCUCGACAUCAUCAGCUGCUGCAAUGGUUGCAUGCGGGAAGCCAAAAUCUCAGUUGUAGUCGCGUGACCAGUUUUAUAAAUCAUGGAGGUUGCCGAUUUGGCAGAGUUGAUGAUCAUGUGAUCAUUGUUAGUUCUUUGCAUCUCACAUUUGAAGCACGAACAUAAUUGCCCAUCAUUCGGUACCUCAGAAUAUGUCAAAGAACGUCCUUGCAUUGUGACUGUGGCAGUAGGGAACGCAACGGCUUCAAAAUUAUUGCAAAGAAGAGGCACCGAUCGAGGAACAAAAUGGCAACUCCGGAAGAAAGGAUGUUCCAAAGCUUCCGCAGCCGUAGGCCUCAUGUGUGGAUUCCAGGAACAAAGCCGUGAAAUCAAGCUGAUGGAUUCUCGACUAGCUGAUGGUGACAACUCACGCAGAUUCACACCACCCAUCUGCGGGAACUUCCAGUCGAGAUUGCUCGCGAGUUGAAUUCCAAGAGGCCAAGAAUCCUCGGUGGGGCUACCAAUCACUUGGCUGAAUUGAAAGAUCAAAAGAUACCCAGUGUAAAGUAACUUCACCAAGCCGGAGUCAAGUUUCAAACGGAGUCAAGCAAAAAUCUACUUGACAUUAAAUUUAAUCAAGGAAUUCUGGAAAUUCUAUCUCUAACGGUAUAUUUUCAUAAGACAAAGCCUUUCUACAGGAAUCUUAUAGCUUUUGAGAGGAUGCAUGGCUACCCUUUAUAUUUUAAUGACUGCAUUAUAGUGAGGUGUUACCUCAUCAGCACUCCAAACGAUACGGAAUUACUCAUUCAAAAUGAAAUUAUUAGCUUGGGUACAGUGAACUACUUCCAACUAUUCUUAGCAGCCUUUGUAAAGGCUGUUCAGGUAGUGGUUUAUAUACAUACAUACAUGUAUGUAAUAAUAUAUGUGUGUGUGUGUGUGUGUGUGUAUGUAUGUAUGUAUGUAUGUAUAUAUAUAUGUGUGUGUGUGUAUUUAUGUGUGUAUGUAUGCGCGCGCGCGCGUGUAUGUAUUUGCUUAUGGACUUACACUCAUUGAAUUCAACGUAACAGGUAAUAGGGAAGUUGAGGAGAUGAAUAUCGAUGCAUUGAAUAAUCUUUGACAGUACAAUUAGUACGUACGUGGUUAGGUUCUAACUACAAAUACAAUAACCAGCCUUAACGUUUUCUUCAAAAUCCGGGAGGCCUCGACAUCAUCAGCUGCUGCAAUGGUUGCAUGCGGGAAGCCAAAAUCUCAGUUGUAGUCGCGUGACCAGUUUUAUAAAUCAUGGAGGUUGCCGAUUUGGCAGAGUUGAUGAUCCAUUGAUCAUUGUUAGUUCUUUGCAUCUCACAUUUGAAGCACGGACAUAAUUGCCCAUCAUUCGGUACCUCAGAAUAUGUCAAAGAACGUCCUUGCAUUGUGACUGUGGCAGUAGGGAACGCAACGGCUUCAAAAUUAUUGCAAAGAAGAGGCACCGAUCGAGGAACAAAAUGGCAACUCCGGAAGAAAGGAUGUUCCAAAGCUUCCGCAGCCGUAGGCCUCAUGUGUGGAUUCCAGGAACAAAGCCGUGAAAUCAAGCUGAUGGAUUCUCGACUAGCUGAUGGUGACAACUCACGCAGAUUCACACCACCCAUCUGCGGGAACUUCCAGUCGAGAUUGCUCGCGAGUUGAAUUCCAAGAGGCCAAGAAUCCUCGGUGGGGCUACCAAUCACUUGGCAGAUUUUGUAAAUUUGAUCAGCUGAAUUUUUUCCCGGAAAAAGAAUCCUGAAACUCAACAUCUCGAACAUAAUAGCACCCAUCGCCCACAUAUCCACUUCAGGUCCAUAUAUCUCGGAUAAAAGUAACACUUCAGGAGCUCGAUACCAGCGAGUUGUAACAUAAUCAGUGCACGGCAGACUGGAAUCAAUUUCCUUCACCAUUCCAAGAUCCCCUAUCUUGAUCACACCUUUCGAAACAAGCAAGUUGGAAGGCUUUAGGUCACGGUGAAAAUAACCCUGUCGGUGCAUGUAAUGGAGACCUUGAAACACUUGGAAACACAAGUUUCUGACUUCAUCUUCAGAGAAAUUUUGACCCGCUCUUUCUUUCAUAAGUUUUAGAAGAUCAGAUUCCAUGUACUCGAACACAAUGAAUACGUCUUCGUGUUCUUUGACAAGAUUCCUCAAUUUGACAAUGUUGGGAUGAUUAUUCAUCUUCCUUAAACAUUUAACUUCUUUCAAGUUCCUGCUCUCGUCCAAAGAAAAAAUCUUCUUCUUCAAUUUCUUGACAGCAACAAAUUCACCACUCUUUUUAUCAAGAGCCUGAAACACGUCGCCGUAACUCCCCGACCCAAGCUCCCUGAUCUUUUCGUAUUGCUCCAUUUUUUUUCAGUGCGAUAUAUGGAACCAAAUUUUUUUCUGUACGGAUAUUUAUAAUGUGACAAUAACUUGCCGUACUGAAUUAGGGAAUAGUUUCCUAUUCCCAUUAUAUAUAUAUAUAUGUAAUAACAAUUACCCUAAUUGAAUAGGAAACUAGUUUCGCAAAUGAAAUUAAAACUGUAGUAGGAAACGCGUACCAGAACCGCAUUAGGAAAAGGUUAUAUUAGUAAUUUUACAUAUAUUAUUAAUUAUCUAAGUACAUUAAUUUUUUUUUAAUUUAACCAGAUAGGCUGGUUAAUUUAGAAACUACUGUAAUAUAAGUUACGUAAAUACAUCAAAUUAACCAAAUAGGCGAUUAUGAAUUUAACAGUUUCCCCCUUUUUUUAAUUUUCUUGUUGUGUUGCCGGUGUUCGCUAAAAGAAGAGACUGCCAAAACCAAUAAUGAGAAAUGUUGGUCAAAAAAUGUUAUCAUAAGAGUUCAUGCAUGAUUUCAUUUGAUCCAAUUAAUGAACAUAUUGAGAAGUAAAAUUGGGAAAAUCUUUUAUUGCAGUCUUAUUACAUACUUAUUCAAGAAAUCACAGAAAACACAAAACCUGCACACUUAUAAAUAGAAACACACAAUCCAAUGUUUUUUGUACGAAAUUAGGAUAUGUAAUAUCUCACAGUGCUUGGAAGGAUGUAAAUGAUCAGCUCAUAAGGAAUUGCAUCCUUUGAUUAGCAAUUUGGGUGGACUUAAGCCCAUACCAAGAUCAAAACCGCAAAUGUCAUUUAUGAUUUUUGUUCCAAAUGUCAUUUAUAUUAUUCAACAUUGUUCAUUUUAUAUUGUUGUUUUAUCAAUAUCCUCCUAUUUUUAUUUUCUGUGUCACUUGACAUAUACGAUGACAAUCUAUCUUUAUUAUUUUUUAAUACCAUUAAUGCUAAUGUUGAAAUAUAGGUAGGGAUGGCAAUGGGGAGGGGAGGGGAGGGGACCAAUCUCCCUGUACCCAUUGUCGAUAUUUUGCGUAUGUCCCCGUUCCCUUCCCGUCCCCAUCAGAAUUACACGUAAAAUAUACAUACACAUAAUUUAUCAGGGAAAAAAGAAUUUACUUCUUUUGAGUUUUAGCAACCUUCAAAAUCUUCCUUGAAAAUGUCAUUAUUUAUUAUUAUUUUUUUUUCUAAUAUCGUACAUGUACUCUUAGAUUUACACAAUUUUUAUCAAGGAUGAGUGUAACAACCAACCUAAAAUAAGAACAAUGCUAUUAAUGGAAACAAAUCAUUGCAUUAGUGAACUUGGACGGUUGGGUACAACAAAAACAACCAGAGACAUAAGUUUAUAAAUUCUCUUAGCUGCAAAAAAAAGCAACCUUAAACUUAUUUACAUCGUCGGACAAACCGUAUUAACCGGCUCAUCACUAUCCGUCCAUCCCGCUCCAAGAAAUUUAGCUUUUAAAAAAUAUAUCUGCUGUACCGUACAUCCGCCUUGGCCGUACAGCAGAAUGAAUAUUAAAAUUAAAACAAAUUUUUGGGCUAAUAGAAUCUAUCCAGUCUUUUUAAUGUCCUAAACAAAAAUUUAUGACUUUAAUUAGUUAAUUAGGCCUAAAAGUUUAAUAAUAUAAAUAUUUGAUAUUUGUUCUUUUUACCAAUUUUUAUAAUUUUAUAAUUCAAAUUUUAUUAUUUAUUUACUAGUAAUUUUAAAAAAUUAAAAUUAAAAUUAAAAUGGGGAAAUGGGUAGGGGAUGGGGAUUCCACCUCAUCCCCAUCCCCUCCCCGAAUAAGAAAUUGGGUAAAAAAAUUUUCUCGUGCCUUCCCCGAAUAAAAAAUUAGGUAUAAAAUUAUCCUCAUACCCUCCCCGAAUGGGGAAAAUCCCCCCCGACCCCAUGGAGAUUUUGCCAUCCCUAAAUAUAGGUGAUGAAAGAGAGGAUUUGGGGCGAAUUUUUAUUCGUUAAUAUCAAAUAUUUGCCAAUUGGAUUUUUUUCAGAAUCCGACUCUUCAAUUCCACUCCCCGGGAAAAUUGAGAGAUCUUGGAGAAUUGGACUAAGAAGUUUUCACUUGUUAGUUCAUAAAUUUGAAGAGAGUCUGUUCAGUCGAAUAUCAAUUAAGGAAGAAGAUGAUGUAUUGAACAAAUAGGCCAAGAUUCUUUUCUGAAAAAAUAUGAUAAUGGUGCUUUGUUUCAUACCGUCGGAUUCAUAUUUUGGCAAAAAAAUAAAUUGUUUCAAAGCUUUCGGCAAACUAAUGAAAAUAAAAUCACAGCGUACUUGGUAAUGAUGAUCCUUGAAUUUUUACCAAAUUUUGACAUUGAUGGACUUGAAAUUUUUACUUAUAUGUGGUUUUGUAACUAUAGGAAACUAAGAAUUUUUAUAUCUUAGUAACAAAAUUCGGAGUUGGUGUUAAUUUUUUGGUCCAAUAGCUUCUAUCAUUUUCCAAGUAUUCAUAGGGGAAAUACAAUGGAAUAGGAGGAAUGCAUUCUGAAAUUACAAAUUAUAAAUUGGGACUUUAUAAAUAACAAUGAUUAUAGUUAAAACAAUGUUAUACUAUUUAAAAUAGUGAUUACAGUAAUGAGAUAAGAAAGAAAAUAUGUUAUAAAAAUAGAAUGUAAAUCAAGGCCUCGUGUAGGGUGGGCAAAAAAGUUAGGGUCGGCCCAACUUAGGGUCAUGGGCUUUAGGCCCAGCUUGUUUCAUGAUGCCAUGGACAUGGGUAAAAAAAUUUAAAGCUAGUUGUGAAUGGGCUUAGUUAAUGGUUGUAUUUGAUUAUUUAUCGAUUAUGUAUUGGAUAAUCAUUACUAAUUUAAAUAUUUUAUUUUUAACUUUUUGCUUUAUUAAAAAUUUAUUUAAAAAAUUAAUGGAAGCACAAGUCCAGUGCAGGCUCAGAUUGUCCAAGUUUGGAUAGACUUUUAGAGGGUGUGGACCUAUUACUAAUAACAUGGACUUAGACAUGAGCUUGAAAAAACUCAGCAUAAACUCGUAAUUUGUCAUCCUUACCUGCAUAAUAUUAUAGCUUCAUUAAAACAAAUUUGCCUACUGCUCUCAAGUGCUUUAGGAUUUGAAUAGCGCCUAUUUUCCAAGAGACAAUGGUAAUGAAUAAUUCAGGUGCACCAAGAGGUUAUUGUACAAAAAACUUCCAGUGUGUCUAAACUUUAUGAAAAUUGGAUCUCCGACAAAGGAGGCAUUGAAGUUUUUCUCUUCUUAUUCUUCUAUCCUUAUUUGUCUUAUAUUGUUCCUAGCCACUUUUUUGAAAUGAUGAAGAAUGUCAAUUCAUAGAAUUGUAUGAGAGGCAUUUUUAUCCACAAAUUUGACUGCUAAAAUUUUGUAACUGAUGUAUUUAAUUUCUUAUUAUUAAGUACCGUAGCUAAUUAAAAGUAUAACUGUUGCUCGUUAAACCUUUUAUUUAACUCUUAAAUUAAAUUCAAAAUGUAACUGCGGCUUCAUUAACCACGUCUUAAAUUCGGGAUUUAAUCUCAUAUUAAAAUAUAAAUUUAAUUGGGUAUUAUAAAUUCUGAAUUACUUGGCAGUUAAAAGUGAUAUAUUCUGGAAUUGAUUUCGUAAUUAAUUUUAAAUUUAACUAGCUGUUAUUCACCCAAGCAUCAUUUUAAAUAUAAAAGUACACCUUAUUAUCUUUCACUUAUACAAAGUACAUCCACUCAAAAUUAUGCUUUAAAAUAGUAAAUUAUUAUGAUACUUUUCCAACCAUAUUUGUAUGUCAAAGCAUUUUAUCAUUUUACAUUCAAACCCCCAUAUAGAGAGCUACGAAAAUUAGCUUACUGACACGUUGUCCAGCUAAAGUAAAAUAAAAAAAUUAUAAGUACAAUAUAAGGUUGAUGGUGUGUAAUUUAUGUAAUAUUUAAUAAAAAACACAAUAAACUAGUUAGUGUUGGAUAAACGAAUAAACAAGUCAUAUUCGAAUCGAAUUGUAAACAAAUUGGCUCAAAAUUUUACUGAUUUGGAUUUGAUUCGGUUAUUAAACGAAUAUUCGAUUCGAUUCGUUUAAUUUAUUUAGUAGAAUUAAUAAACGAAUCAAAUCGAAUUUGGAUUCCUUUACAAUUCGUUUAUCCUAUAAGGAAUAAAUUGAAUAUGAAUUUAUUUACAAAAAUAUAAUAGAUAAACAAAAUAAAAUAUAAAAAGAGCAUAAAUUUAACAUCUAAACAAAAUAAAAUAUAAAAAGAGAAAAGAGCAUAAAUUUAACAUCCUACAAAAUACAAACUUAUUAUCAUUUAUAAUUAUUAUAUUAGCUUUCAAACUUUAAGGUUUUUUCAUACUAAGUAUAAAUAAAUAAUUUAAUUAAAUGAAUUUAAAUGAAUGAAUUAUAUUCGAUUCGUUUAUAACUCACUUACUAAAUGAAUCCUUAAAUCAAUGAAUCAAUAUCCUAAUUAGAUCCAUUUAAUUAGCAAAUCAAAUCAAAUUCACCUAUUUAUUAAACGAAACAAUUUUUUCAAAUCCAAACCCAUUUAAUUUGCAUCGAAUCGAAUCAAAUAAACGAAUCCUAGCCCAAAUUGCCACUUCUAAAACUAGUUGUAUAAUAUUCUUACUGGCACCAAAAUCAGAUUAUUUUUUACUUCGUCAGAGGAGACAGUCCCUUAAUUGGGCCGGAUAUGUUGAUGGUUGCACAUUUGCAUCUCUUCCCAUCAAUUUUGUAUUGUUGCCAUGGAUUGAAAUUUCUUGCUUCGUUUGGGCAUCCACGCAUGUAAUUACUACUUUUAAAAGAUCCUUAUAGCCAUUUUUUAUUUAGCAACGUAAGGAACCCUGAAUCUGCGACAUCAAGUUAAUAUGUUAUUAAUGUAUGUUAAAGUAAGUUUAACUUCAUGUGACUUCUACAGAAAAUCGUCACAUUUGUUCGGGUUAACAUUAUAAACUUCUAUUGCUUUCGGGUAACUUAUUGGCAAAUUGGCUUGCAAAGCGUUUUCAGCUGCACGAUGGGUAACGUUAAAAAGAAAGGCAAAGAAAAAGUGUUAAUUAAGCAUAGCUAUCGACUUCACGUUUGUUAAUAUCAAGUUUUAACAACGGAUGUGUUCGAUCAACUUACAGAACAACUAUUGAUAAAUUGAAAUUCACAAAAAUUUGAUACAAGUCAAGGAUUAACGAUGCCAAAUAGGUUAUUAUUUGAUUCAUUUCAUUGAAAACUUGACGUCAUGAAGAGCAAAGCACCCCUAUAAUCUUUGGAGAGCGGACAUAACUUUUCCUAUAUCGUGUCAAAAUCCUCAUCUGUCUAUUUAAUUAUGUUCUGAGAAUUCUGUUUAUUUACUUAGAAAACAGAGAGAAUUUAUUGAUUGAGAGAAAUUAGAAACCAAAAAAUAUUCAUUCCACAUACUGUAAUUUGAGAUUACAAUGCUCUGCAUAUGGUUGUGUGUACAAUCUUCUAAAAGCAACAAACUUGUGUGCUCACAUGCACCUAUACAUAACGAACUUUUAGAGGGAAACUAUAGCUUUCAACAAUAUGCAUAAUGACCUUCCAACGUGGAUAUUCAGCAACGAUACUAUGCAGCUCAGCUCUGAUGAAUCGGCACUUAAUUCUUAACACACCCCCGUAAUCUCAAGGUCUUGAACAGACAUUGAGCUUAGUUCUCAUUAAGCAAAGUGGUCAAAACUAAGAGGCCUUGUAAGCACAUCAACUAACUGAUCAAGACUGGACACAUGUUCAAUGACCAAUUCCUUAUUUGCAACAUGUUCCCUAACAAAAUGAAGAUCCAAUUCUAUAUGCUUAGUUAUAGAAUGAUAUUUAGGAUUGUUUGCUAAAGUUUCUGCAGUUUAUUAUCAGAGUGAAGAACAUGAGACUUGUUGAGUGAUACUUGAGUUCCUUUAAAAGACAAGUGAUCCACAAAAUUUUAAAUGUGGCUAAUGCUAAAGCUCUAUAUUCAGAUUCAACAAUUGAUUUAGAGAUAAUAUUUUGUUUCUUAGAUGACCAGGACACAAGAUUAGUUCCAAGAUAAACACAAUAUCCUCCAAUAGAUCUUCUGUCAUUUGGAUCAGACCCCCAAUCUACAUUAGAAUAGGCUAUCAAGGUUAGGGAACUUGAGUUGAAGAACUGAAGUCCAAAAUGUGCUAUACUUUGCAAAUAUCUCAGCACUCUUUUACAGGCCUGCCAGUGUAAAGUAGUUGGAGCAGUAAAAAACUGGCUUAACUUAUUGAUUGUAAAUGCAAUAUCUAAACUGGUCGGUGUUAAGGAUUGUAGAGAACCAACAAUGCUUCUAUAAAGUGAAUGAUUUUCAAACAUACAAUUUAUCAACAACACUUGUAGGCGUGUUACAACCUUUACUGUCAAACAUGUAAGCUUUCCUUAAGAUAUCUCCAACAAACUUAGUUUGAGAUAGAUGUAGGCCAUCAAUAGACGGAGUUACUUCUAAUCUAAGAAAAUAUUUGAAAUCCCCCAUGUCUUUGAGAGCAAAUUCUAAUCCAAGCUGAUUAAUAACCUCUGUUAUAUGAGCAUUGCUUAAACCUAUUAUCAGAAUAUCAUCCACAUAGACAAGAAUAAUUAUAAUAUCACCUCUAAUAUGCUUGAAAAAUAAGGAAGUAUCUAACUUGGAAGACCUGAAUCCUCAUUGAAUUAGAUCCUUUUAAUCUAUCAUACCAAGCCAUGGGGGCUUGUUUAAGGCCAUAAGGGUUUUAUUCAACUUGCAAACAUGAUUGGGAAAUUGAGGAUUAAUAAAGCCUUCUACCUAAAGCAUGAACACAUCUUCAGUAAGUAGGCCAUUUAAAAAAGCAUUAUCGACAUCUAAUUACCGUAUAGGCCAAUGAUUCAUGAUUGCCAAGUUGAGAACAAAUGGAACAGUGCAGGGUUACAACAGGACUAAAUGUCUCAAAGAAAUCUACUUUAUAAUUUUGAUGAAACCCUUUUACAACUAGUCGAGCUUUAUACUUUGAAAUGCCAUCAUCUGGGUUGUAUUUAACUUGAAAAACCCACUUAUUUCCAACAAGUUUGGUGGCUAUCUCAGCUGGAACCAAUGUCCAAGUAUCAUUUCUCUGCAAAGCAUUAUAGUUAUCUUGCAUAGCCACAUGCCACUUUUAAAUAUAUACAAGCUUGAGAUGUGCUAGAGUUUGUUAAAAAAAUUUAGAAUCGGGCCAAGCUAGCACUCUUGGCCUAUGUUUGGGCUCUUAGCCCGAAUUCUUGGGCACUUGGGCUGAAAAUUUGGGUGGUCCACAACAUUAAGCUCAAAAUAUACUAAUACAAAACAUGGACUCCAGUAACAGGCUUGAGGAGAUGCUCAUCAAGAUAUUGCAAUGAUAGGUCUAUCACUAUAUCAUCAAGAAGCAUAAAAAAAAGAAAUUUCUAGGAUAGUCAUAUGAAUCACCAUUCUUAACUAUCUAAAUGACAAAUUAGACGGGUUUUGACCUUUUUAAAGUGUUUUAUGAAACUUAGAUUUCCCGUAUAUUAAACAAUACUAAGAUUUACAAACAAACUUGAAUCGCCAAAGAGAUUUUACAAAGAAUUUCAAUCACCAAAUCUUCAUUAUAAUGAAAAUCUUUCUUGUUACUUGUCACCAUCAUCUCCUUCUAAUCAAAUUUAAUUAAAAUAAUGGAAUACUAAAAUGAAUCAAGUUGGUUUCUCACGUUCAUUAGCAAAGAUUGAAAUUACUGAGAAUGCAUAAAUUGUGGACUGGGAAAUUCGGAGAACGUUGGCCAUUAGAAAGUAUUAAGAGCUUUUAGUUUAGUGCAAUAGAUAAUUAGCUUUUUUGGGUAAACACUCUUUUAGUAUUUUAGGUUUCGGAAAAUUAUGCAAUUAGCUUAUGAAUUUUUAAAAAUUAUUCAAACCAUCCUUAUUUAUGUCGAAAUUCACUCAACGCACUUUUUUCACUUGAAGUAGGUAAUUAGACUUGUCUGUUCUUGUUGGAAUUUAAAAGUAAAUCAGACACAACUACUUAGGUAGAAUUGCAUUAAGGAUGAAAUUUAUUAUCAAAAUUAAAAUUUAAAAAUCUGUUUGCCACUGCCUUUUUAAAAUUCUUAAAAUAUACGUACCUUGUACACUUGGCUCACAUAAAGAUAUAAAUAAAUUACAAGAUUGAUUAAUUGAAAUCGUGAAAAAGUAAAGGUCCAAAGGGAGAUAUAUUCCACGCGUAUAGCGUGCCGCAUCGUUAUUUCUAACUUAUUGAAAUCUUAAAUUCAAACCGAAUGAUUGAAAUCAUCAUCCAAAAUCAAACAAAUCUCAUGCAUGCACCAACCGAAGCCACUUUCCACGUGUAAAAUGGGCUAGUCAACUCAUACAAUUAUCAACAAUAUAUCCUCUUUCUUUGCAUCAUCUAUUUCUUUGGCAUUUAAUUUCUAUCAUUUUCUUACCGUCCAAACAGGCGCAUGCAUCCAGAUAGGUAUAUAGAUAUCUUCUCCCCACCUAACUUUAUUAGCACAAUCACGUUACAUAAGAAAAUAGUAAGCUUUGUUGGGUAAUUGGUCUUUAUUUAAUUUGAAAAGAGCUAUUUGCAUUUCUUUAUUAAUAAGAGUUUCCAAGCAUUGAAGAUUUGCCUGUAUUUGAGUGAGCAAAAGAUAUACAGCUUAGUCAUCAGAUUACAAAACAGGUUAACAAAUUUAUUGACAAGCAAACAACUAACUAAGAUCUUGUCAUUCGACAAAUUUUUAGUUUUAAGAUCAUUUAGGAAUAUUAGUACAAUAAUUGCAAUCUAAGCCAGAAAGAAAAAGACAUAUUUUGUUGACAUAAUGGCCAAAUAUAAUUUACUCAUAUCUCAAAGCUUUGAAUAAAAAGUUAACCAGAAAAUCCUGAAAUGGUUUGCCUGUGGAUAGAGAUAUUAGAUAUUCUAUAUUUAAUUUUCCUUGACGUAGGGUCAUAUGCACAAUGAAUUAUAGACAAAGAUUGUCGGCAGUCUCCCAUAUAAUAUUAUUUACACAGAUUAUGUACUUAGACGUUAUCAGUUCCUUCAAUUUCAGGUAAUUUCGUAAUCAUAUUCAUAUUAUAUUAUAGGACUCGCCUAUCGUGCAACAGUGGCACCAUGCCACUGCUUUUGUCUUUUUUGUGUAAAAUUUCAUGAAGCCCUUUCAUUUAUUCUUAUUUGAACUUUGCUUCACAAAUAUUAAGUUCAUUUCUCCCAAACCCGUGAAUCCUUCAACGGCCGAUCAACGGCAAAUCGGCUCCUCCGGUGGCUGUGGUUGGUCAGAAAAGACAGAGGGAAUUGUGGAGAACAAAACUCAAGUGGUGGCGUCACCGGAAACUGGAGAAACAGUGGCGAAUUGAAGCGGGGAUUCUGUGACUUUUCACGGCUUCGAUCGGCAGCUUUCCGAAUGCUUUACAGCGACAAGGAUGGCAUGGAGAUGACCGGCGUCAUACGAGCUUCCGAUCGGUACCAACCUUGGCCGAUGGAAUUGCCGGAAACGGAAAUAAAAUCCGGGUUGGGUUCGCGGGUCGGGUUGACCCGGUUAUUUUUGUGACAAGGAUGGUGUGGAGAUGACCGGCGUCGCUCGAUCUUCCGAUCGGUACCAACCUUCGCCGGUGGCGUGGACGGAAAUGGAAACGAAAUUCGGGUCGGGUUCGCCGGUAUUUGUGAUAAAGAGAGGGGUAUUGUGAUAAAAGUGUAAUAUAGAAGAAAAAUGUAUAAAUAACAAAUAGUAUAAGGUGCUAAUUAUAAUGUUUAUAUGGAUGCAAUAGAAAUUAAUUUAAUAUUUAUGAAGUAAAGCUUAAAUAAAAAUGAAUGAAAGGGGUUCAAUGAAAUUUUACAACACUGCUGGCACAAAAGACAAAAUCAGUGGUACAGAUACCACGGUGGUACCGUAGUAGCUGGAUCCUAUAUUAUAUACAGUUCAUGAACACGCGUUAUUCAAUCGUCUCAUUUUAAAUAUAAUUAAACUGCAAAUAAUGAUACCACAGACAUUUUUGGUUUUAGUUACAUACCAGGCUGAAUAAUAAUAAUAAUAUUAAUAAGAGCAGGAGGGGAAAGGAAAAAUUGAAAACGAUUUUUAAGCUCAGUACAAAAUUCAAGGACAGGACCGAGGAAAAAAAAAAGAAUCUUGAUGUACGUAGGACAUGCAUUUUGUGGGGGAAAUAACUAAUUGAGUUACAAUACUCAUAUAAUAUGUUAAGUCUUUAAACUUUCGGUGAUAUAUAGAAACAAAAUCCGUUGUGUUUAAUUGCAAAAUCAAUCCGAUUAUGGUCGAAGUUUGUUGUUUGAUGCCUCAAAUGUAUUUGAUUCUUUUAACUAUUUCCAAGAAAUUUUUGAAGUUUUAGAACAUAUAAUUUUUAUGUUUUUUUCUUUUCGCUUUUAUUUCAAUUAGGAGUAUUCAUUUUGGAAAUGUGAAGGUAAUUCAGAUUUGUUCAUACAAGUGAAUUCAGAAUAUUUACGAGUCUCCACGUACAAGAGCAUGAAAAAUGCUAUAGUUUUAUUAGCUACAGAUAAGUCGUGAGAUAUGCUUCAAUCCUCAUCACUCAUUGUCACAUGUAAGUUGAACAUUUUCUUUUAGUUCUUAUCACAUAAAAAAAAUAGUCUAAACUCACUUAUAUAUGAGUCUCACUUUUUAUGGGUUUAAAGUUUAAGAUGUGAAAAAUGAUCAAUUACAUUUAAUUAAUUAUCCCAAAGUUCUUUAAAAGUAGUUUCGGGAUAAUUUUUUCUAUUUUUGGCGGAUAUUAGAUAUUGUCCUCAUCACUAAACUAAACACCAUUUUCCAUUUAAAUAGGAAAAAAAAAAGGAAAGAUAGAAUAAGGCCAGAAUAAAAUUCGGUGAGUUGUUGAAGGAUUUAUGGAAAGUGACAGAAAUGGUGUUUUUACUUUUUGCUUUUUUUGAAGAAAAGUUGAAAGCUUAAGCAGCACAAAUUAAUGUUGCUUUUACGAUUUUGUAUUUGUUGCGUCACAUUUUCUUUCCUCAAAUAUUAUAUUAAGUGGACUCAAGUAUAGCGGUCCGCCUACUGUGCAUAUCAGAAUAAAUUAAACAUAUCAGAAUAAAAUUCGGUGGGUUGUUGAAGGAUUUAUGGAAAGUGACAGAAAUGGUGUUUUUACUUUUUACUUUUUACUUUUUUUGAAGAAAAGUUGAAAGCUUAAGCACCACAAAUUAAUGUUGCUUUUACGAUUUUGUACUUGUUGCAUUACAUUUUCUCUUCAAAUACUAUAUUAAACAUAUUUCUUUAUAAGUAAUGAUACAACCAUAAAUUUUUAUAUAAAUUGAUAUGACAUUAAUUUAUUAAUUGAAUAAAAAUAUAAAUAAAUUAUGUAGACUAAUAAAUAUUUAAUUCAACUAAUUUUAUCAUACCAUAUCAAUUUGUACAAAAAUUUAUAGUUAUAUCAUUACUCUUUUUUUAUUGAAAAAUUCUUUAAAUUGUGCGUUCAAAUCAGUUCAAUUAGUAAUUCUCUUAACUUAAAAUAAAAGAUCCGGGAAUCAAAAGCCAGUUUGGUAUUUAUUUAUUUAGAUUAUAAUUUUUUAAAUACUUUAUCAGAGGCGAGAUUUGAAAUAAACAUCAAUUUUUUUAAAUCACAAAUAAAUAUCAAUUUUCAGUUGUGAAAACAACUACGAAAAAAAUUAACAGCAUACCAUUCUCAAAAAAAAAAGAAAAGCAAAAACAUUUCAUUUUCAAAACGUCAUCCGUCACGUCACGUAAUUAAUUAUUUGACUCUACUUGUGUAUUGUCGGUGUGGACAAAGCUACGUUACAGACUCUUUAUGUAACAGUUCAGUGCAAACUGGCCUUGUAUCAGCUAAUUUCUAGCAACUUUUCCUCUCUCCUGCAACGAGCGGAUGCUCCCCAUUUGCUACGUUACAAGGUCCGUGUGUCUCAAUCAAUUAUUUAUGUAUAAACUGACAAAAAUGAUAAUUCAAUAUAAAGAAAAGGCAAACUCUAUCUUACAUGCAUGUAAGAUACAUGGCUCUCAUAUGAAUAGUAUAUAUAUGGGAUCCAUAUACUAUGUAUUUUACAUGCAUGUAAGAUAGGGGAUCCCUAAAGAAAAAGGAUAAAAGUCUACAAGCUUGAAAUGAAAGGUUUCGACUUUCGAGUAUGUGGAAUCCACACGCCUCGUACAGUCCACAUUCGCAUGGCGAUGGCAUGGACUAAAUCCAACGUUAUCGUUUAUCAAAGUUGAAUUCUUCAGCCCUAAUUAAGUCGAUCAGAAUUUAAGCUGAUUUAUUUAUUAUUAUUAUUUUUUUUACAAACAAAUGAAAUUUUGGAUAUUACAAAGGGGGAAUUAUUCUUCUUUAAUUUCUCACCCUUAGUCACCAGAAAAUUACAAUAGGGGCCAAUUGCGGUUUUUUUUUUUUUUGCACAAAGUUUGGCCAAAAAACACUUCUUGCUUUGUAGCUCAAUAAAGUUUCAAUGGCAUCAAAAUGGACAUGCAUAAACGACUCUGCCAAUAUUGCCAUGCCAUGAAUCAUUUUAAUUAAAAGAGGGACAUGUCCAUAUAUAAAUGACAUACAUUGCAGCAUCUAAUUGCACAGACAGUAGUUUCUGAAUCAAAAUGCUAGUAAUAAUAAACAAACAAACAAACAAAUAAAUAAAAUUUAACUGUAAAAUCUUAAACUUUUCUUGCCUAAUAAAACAAAUUUUUCAUCAGUUACGAAACCAGCUCAGCAGUAUAUAAACAAAAUUUUAAAAUUGAAAUUGAAUAUUCAUCCUAAUUUUCCAUCCACAAAACUAUAUACUCACAAUUCAGCGAAUUAUUACUUGAAAGAUAUAAGGAAAGGAAGAAGAUAACUAUUGUAUAUUUUUAAACUAACAAAUCUAACUCUUUCGUAGAAAAUUCCUGUUCAUUCUCUUUGGUUAAACAUAUAUGAUUUAAGGAUAAGUGCACGAGUUACGAAUAAUUUAUUUAUAAAAUCAUAAUUAUAAAAAUAUAAAAAGAUAGGGUGUUGUUACAUAAAAAGCGGAGUGGAAAUAUCCUCACAAUUUUCUUUUUGGGAUAAAUGUUCUUUUGAUCCUUAAGAUUUGAGUCAAUUAUCUAGCUAGACUUUGUAUUUUUAAAAAAUUAUUUUAAAAAUAUAUGUCUUAGUCAAAAUUAUUUACUUAAUUAUUCUCCUUUUUUUCCUUAACAUGUAGAUUUAUUUGAAUUUUAAGUUCCAUGUAAGAUAAAAAAAAUAUUUUACCCACUUUGAAAGUUAGAUCCAAUUGCGAUAGAAGUAGGAUGAAUUAUAUAAGUUCAUCCUUUUAAUAUUGGUGUUGUUAUUACCUUUUCUUUUGUUUAAUAAGAAAAAAGGAAAAAAAGUUCUAAUAGGGACAAGAAAUCUCAUCCACUAAACAAGAACCUUUGCCCUAUGAGUGGUUUUGUUGCAGAAUUGAUAGUAUAUUUUGGAAUAAUUACCAGCCAAUUUUUUUUUUAAUGCCAAAAAUAGUAAUUACUUUUAUAAUGGCAACUGGAAUGAUAUUAACUCCAUUUAUUCAUUAUCUAUGUUACGCCAAAUGUUCUAUGGGUACAAGCUAUUUAAUGCCCCAAACACUUUUUUUAUUUAUUUAUUCUGGACCACGAGAGUUAUUUGUUUUUAUCUCGAUUCUUCUACCCCUAAUAGGUAUUGGUAUUUAUCCCGAUUUUGUUCUCUCUCUAUCAGUGGACAAGGCCGAAGCUAUUAUAUCUAAUGUGUUUUUGUAGAUAGUUUUCAUGACUAAAAAAAAUCAAAAAGAAAUCCCAUGAUUUUAAAAAGAGUUCGUUAUCCAAUGAACAAAGAAAUCUUUUUUCUUCUAUUACUCUUAAGUUAAAUGAAAAGAAGAAGUAAAAUAUUUUUAAUUUAAUUUAAUAACCGAUUCAUGGGGUGGUUGGAGUAUUUAAGGGGGGACGACCGAGAUACACUUGACAUACUUCUACAAUACUAAAAAGCAAAUAAUAAAUGAUCGUUAACACCUCAAAACUAUGUGGAGAAAAAUAUGCUUUCACCAAACUUUAGGGAGAAAAUCGAUAAUGUAAUUAUCUCAUCAUAUAAGCUUUUGUUUUCAAACUGUGGACUUUUACAAUAUAAUGUGAAACUUCUUAGUCGUUCCCAAGUCUACUCCUGUUUAGCUUGGUUGGCUAUAAAUAAAGAGGCGCAUAUAUAGAAGGCUUAGAAAUAACUCUCAUUCUCAUCAUUGCAAAAUGGCUUCUCUUCGUUUUCUCCUUGCAGCUGCUCUUGUAGUUGCAUUUGUGCUUGAGGGAUCAUCACCAGCUCAAGCUCAACUUUCUCCCUCUUUUUAUAAUUCCACAUGCCCUAAUGUAGCCAACAUAAUUCGGGAGGUGCUUCAGAAUGCUUUCUUGUCCGAUAUUCGCAUCGGUGCCAGCCUCAUCAGGCUUCAUUUCCAUGACUGUUUUGUUAAUGUAAUCAAUCUCUACUCUUUGAUUUUUCUUCUUUUUCAAUUAAUAUUUUAAAAUAUGAAUUAAGGUCCUCUUUUAAUCUGAGUUUUGCAUAGUAUUUUAAAAAAUCUUGUGUAACAUGUCCAUUAUUAGUAAUAUAUGAUUGAAAAAAACUACGUACACUUAUAUCCUUAACUUCUAACAGUCACAAUUAAGCUCAGGAAAAGCUUACAUCAUGGGGGAAACCUGGUCUUACAAACUUAUAUAAGACAAUUUGGAUAUAUGUAUGUUUAUCCAAAAAGAAAAUGAACAAAUAUUCAUUAUUUUCUUAAUAGUAAGAUAAGAAGAAUCUACCUAAUUAUUAAAUUAACGAUACAAGAGCAGUUGAUCAUAACAAGCUUUUAAUGUUAUUUCAGGGCUGUGAUGCAUCGAUUUUGCUGGACAAUACUACUACCAUAGUAAGCGAGAAAUUUGCUGCGCCAAAUAAUAAUUCGGCGAGGGGUUUUGAAGUUGUUGAUGACAUGAAAGCUGCCGUUGAAAGGGCCUGUCCAGGCGUUGUUUCCUGUGCUGAUAUUCUUACUAUUGCAGCUGAACAAUCUGUUGCUCUGGUAUAUAUGAAUUUCUAUUAACAACUCAUCUUGCUCUACUACAUAUUUUUAGCUUAAAAGUGAUUAAAUUACUAUGGUAUCAGAGAGUAAGUCUGACUUUACAUUCGUGUUGGAAUUUUCAGUCCCUGAGUACUUAACUAAAUGAAUCCACAUGCUUAGUUUUAGGCGGCAACAGUCCACCGACAUUACCAUGUUGACUUCGUGAUAGUGCCUGGACAAACUUUACCGUAUGAAAAGGGAAGGCUUCUCCUUCCCCCCACCCCCCCAAAAAAAAAGUGAUGAGAUUCAUGGAGGACACAUCAGUUUUACGUGAAAAUAUCUUCUUUAUGUGAUACAGUCUGGUUGAACCGUUCACUCAAAAUUGUAAUGUCGGGAAACUGCUAAUUUUGGGUGCAAAAAGACCCAUAUAAAUACUAGCCAAAUAAAGUCGGAAAGAGUAAUUGCAUGUCUAUUUCUGAUUUUAGUUAAAUUUGCUUAUUAUGCAUCUCUCAAGUGAUUCUUUUGACUAAUGAUCGUGGUUUUGGUAUCAGUCAGGGGGUCCUUCAUGGACAAAUCUAUUGGGAAGGAGAGACAGCAGAACAGCCAACAGGACUCUUGCAAAUGAAAAUCUUCCAGGACCGAACAAUAGUCUUGAGAGGCUCAAAGAUAGAUUCAGAAAUGUUGGCCUCAACGAUAAUUUUGAUCUUGUUGCACUCUCCGGUAAUAUUUGCUUUUACGCCCUUUGACUUGAGUACAAACAGACCUUGGAGUCUUUUGGGAUAAAGCAGUAUUGGAGCCAGAAUUAGAAACCUGGAUGUGGAAAAUUUUUUAAUGCCAAUACUGAGUCUUGAAAUCUUAGAGAUAGUUUAAAUGUUGAAUAUCUUAUUUAAAAAGAAAAAAUAAAUUUUGAUAAGGAUGAGAAAUCUCAUCCACUAAAUAUCAAUUUUUUUCUCAUUGUUACUCUUACUAAGACGACCACCGACACAAAGCACAUUCAUACUCUACUGCACCUAGAAGGCUUGACUGAAUAUCCUAAUGAUGGAAGAAACUGUGUUUUAAAGUUUGACAUUGGUGACUAGGAAUAUGUUAAAACGUUUGACAAAUUUACUCCCCUUAAUCACAUCAUGAAAUUUGAAUUGCUUCCCAAAAAGAAAAGUGAGAACCACCAUAAUGAAACUCCAUUAUUAUCCUUAAUUUGUAUGAAUUUGAGUAAAAAUAACAAAGAUUGGCUAUGCAUUUUUUUCAGGAGCUCACACAUUUGGAAGGGCUCAGUGCCGAACUUUUAGCGAUAGGUUAUUCAAUUUCAACAGCACUGGCAAUCCAGACCCAACACUUAACACAACCCUCUUACAACAACUAAGGCAACUAUGCCCACAAGGUGGAAACGGCAGCGUUCUAACUAAUCUUGAUGUCACAACACCUGAUGUGUUUGACAACAAAUACUUCUUCAAUCUUCAAAUACACAAGGGCCUUCUGCAGAGUGAUCAAGAGUUGUUUUCGACUCCCGGGGCCGAUACCGCUGCCAUUGUCAAUAACUUUGGCAGGAACCAGACUGCUUUCUUUGAAAACUUUGUGACUUCAAUGAUAAGAAUGGGCAAUUUGAAACCACUGACAGGAAAUCAAGGGGAGAUUAGAUUGAACUGCAGGAGGGUCAACGGAAACAGCAAUAUCGCAAC
rnacentral:lncRNA from 1 species